rnacentral:rRNA from 1 species
AGAGUUUGAUCCUGGCUCAGGACAAACGCUGGCGGCGUGCCUAACACAUGCAAGUCGAGCGGAGAUACCUGACGAGUAAUCAGAGAGUAUUUUAGCGGCGGACGGGUGAGUAACGCGUGAGCAACCUGCCCUUUACAGGGGGAUAACGCACCGAAAGGUGCACUAAUACCGCAUGAGACCACGGUACCGCAUGGUACAGAGGUCAAAGGAGCAAUCCGGUAGAGGAGGGGCUCGCGUCCGAUUAGGUAGUUGGUGGGGUAAUGGCCUACCAAGCCAACGAUCGGUAGCCGACCUGAGAGGGUGAUCGGCCACAUUGGAACUGAGAUACGGUCCAAACUCCUACGGGAGGCAGCAGUGGGGAAUAUUGGGCAAUGGGGGGAACCCUGACCCAGCGACGCCGCGUGAGGGAAGAAGGUUUUCGGAUUGUAAACCUCUGUCCUUGGUGAAGAGUAGAAGACGGUAACCAAGGAGGAAGCCCCGGCUAACUACGUGCCAGCAGCCGCGGUAAUACGUAGGGGGCGAGCGUUGUCCGGAAUGAUUGGGCGUAAAGGGCGCGUAGGCGGCCAUGCAAGUCUGGAGUGAAAGUCCAUUUUUCAAGGAUGGAAUUGCUUUGGAAACUGUGUGGCUGGAGUGCAGGAGAGGUUAUCGGAAUUCCCGGUGUAGCGGUGAAAUGCGUAGAGAUCGGGAGGAACACCAGUGGCGAAGGCGGGUAACUGGACUGCAACUGACGCUGAGGCGCGAAAGUGUGGGGAGCAAACAGGAUUUAGAUACCCUGGUAGUCCACACCAUAAACGAUGAAUGCUAGGUGUAGGUGGUAUCGACCCCAUCUGUGCCGGAGUAACACAAUAAGCAUUCCGCCUGGGGAGUACGGUCGCAAGAUUAAACUCAAAGGAAUUGACGG